rnacentral:rRNA from 1 species
AGAGUUUGAUCCUGGCUCAGGAUGAACGCUGGCGGCGUGCCUAAUACAUGCAAGUCGAACGCGAGCAGCAAUGCUCGAGUGGCGAACGGGUGAGUAAUACAUAAGUAACCUGCCCUAGACAGGGGGAUAACUGCUGGAAACGGCAGCUAAGACCGCAUAGGUAUGGACACUGCAUGGUGACCAUAUUAAAAGUGCCAAGGCACUGGUAGAGGAUGGACUUAUGGCGCAUUAGCUGGUUGGUGAGGUAACGGCUCACCAAGGCGACGAUGCGUAGCCGACCUGAGAGGGUGACCGGCCACACUGGGACUGAGACACGGCCCAGACUCCUACGGGAGGCAGCA